rnacentral:ncRNA from 1 species
AAAAGACUUGGUUCUGAUCUAUAAUGACAACACUAAUGAAAAAUUACACAUGGUUUUUAUUGAGAGUGGUAAGGAAGUUAAACUUUAAAAUUAAACUGGUUUUAUACCGGAUCUUGAGUUUUAUUUAACUUUAAGUGUUAUUUUAGAAACAAUGCUUUAAAAGACUUACUAACACCAGUGUUGAAUAUUAGUAUAAUUUGUGAAAGCCUGUCCUAGUUUAGUUAAAAAGGUCCGGUAAACUGGGUGCCAGCAGCCGCGGUUACACCUACGGGGCCAAGUUGUCAUUUUAGGUAAUAAAGGCAGUUAGGCCAAGAAAAAUGCGGAACAUUGUAGAGUUAAGUGUACUUUAGGGGUAGAAUCUUAAAAAGUACUUUAAAACUAAAACCAGCAAGUCUUGGGGCUGAAUCUGCGAAAUCUAAGGGGGAAACUGGGAUUAGAUACCCCACUAUUCUUAGGUAUAAAUUGGUUAAAUUUCCUACCAGAGUACUAUGAACUAUAAGUUUAAAACUCAAAGAACUUGGCGGUGCCUUAGACCCCUCAGGGGAACCUGUUCCGUAAUCGACAGUCCACGUUAGACCUCUCCUUUCUUUGCUCUAUUCAGUAUGUAUACCGUCGUCGUCAGGUAACUUUUUAAAAUAACAAAGUUAGCGAAAAAGCUUUUAGCUUUUACGUCAGAUCAAGGUGCAGCUAAUAAAAAGGUGAGAAUGGGUUACAAUUAAAAUUAGUAAUAUGGAAAGUAGGGUGAAAUCCUUUCUUGAAGGAGGACUUGAAAGUAAGAUUAAAAAAUCUAAAUUUUCUGAAUUUCUGGCUCUGAGGCGUGCACACAUCGCCCGUCGCUCUCGUUGAAAAAUGAGAUAAGUCGUAACAUAGAAGGGGUAAUGGAAAUUGCUCCUAGCUGAAG